AAAUUGAAGAGUUUGAUCAUGGCUCAGAUUGAACGCUGGCGGCAGGCCUAACACAUGCAAGUCGAACGGUAACAGGAAGAAGCUUGCUUCUUUGCUGACGAGUGGCGGACGGGUGAGUAAUGUCUGGGAAACUGCCUGAUGGAGGGGGAUAACUACUGGAAACGGUAGCUAAUACCGCAUAACGUCGCAAGACCAAAGAGGGGGACCUUCGGGCCUCUUGCCAUCGGAUGUGCCCAGAUGGGAUUAGCUAGUAGGUGGGGUAACGGCUCACCUAGGCGACGAUCCCUAGCUGGUCUGAGAGGAUGACCAGCCACACUGGAACUGAGACACGGUCCAGACUCCUACGGGAGGCAGCAGUGGGGAAUAUUGCACAAUGGGCGCAAGCCUGAUGCAGCCAUGCCGCGUGUAUGAAGAAGGCCUUCGGGUUGUAAAGUACUUUCAGCGGGGAGGAAGGGAGUAAAGUUAAUACCUUUGCUCAUUGACGUUACCCGCAGAAGAAGCACCGGCUAACUCCGUGCCAGCAGCCGCGGUAAUACGGAGGGUGCAAGCGUUAAUCGGAAUUACUGGGCGUAAAGCGCACGCAGGCGGUUUGUUAAGUCAGAUUGAAAUCCCCGCUCAACCUCGAACCGCAUCUGAUACCGGCGUUUUCAGCCCUGUAGAGUAGGUAGAAUCUGCGUAAGGUGAAAUGCGUAGAGAUCUGGAGGAAUACCGGUGGCGAAGGCGGCCCCCUGGACGAAGACUGACGCUCAGGUGCGAAAGCGUGGGGAGCAAACAGGAUUAGAUACCCUGGUAGUCCACGCCGUAAACGAUGUCGACUUGGAGGUUGUGUCUGAGGCGUGGUCAGAGCUGGACGCGUUGGUCGACCAAUCGGGGAGCCGCCGCAAGGUUAAAACUCAAAUGAAUUGACGGGGGCCCGCACAAGCGGUGGAGCAUGUGGUUUAAUUCGAUGCAACGCGAAGAACCUCACCUGGUCUUGACAUCCACAGAACUUUCCAGAGAUGGAUUGUGCCUUCGGGAACUGCGAGACAGGUGCCGUGGCCGGUCGUCGUCAGCUCGUUAGGAAAUGUUGGUUAAGUCCCGCAACGAGCGCAACCUUAUCCUUUGUUGCCAGCGGUCCGGCUUCUAGAACUCAAAAGGAGACUGCCAGUAAACUGAGGAAGGUGGGGAUGAGUCAAGUCAUCAUGGCCCUUACGACCGUAUUAAUGCGCUAAAUGGCGUACAAAGAGAAGCGACCUCGCGAGCAAGCGACCCUCAUAAAGGCGUCGUAGUCCGAUUGAGUCUGCACCCAUGAAGUCGGAAUCGCUAUAAUCGUGGAUCGAAUGCCACGGUGAAUACGUUCCUGCUCCUGUACACACCGCCCGUCACACCAAUGGGAGUGGGUUGCGUUAAAGCGGUAUAGCUUUAACUCUUCGUGGAAAGGGCGCUUACCACUUGUGAUUCAUGACUGGGGUAGCCUGUAACAGGUAAAUCGUGGGAACCAUUGAUCACCUUACCUUAAAGAAGC
rnacentral:rRNA from 1 species